rnacentral:rRNA from 1 species
GACGAACGCUGGCGGUGCGCCUAACACAUGCAAGUCGAGCGGAGAUACUUGAAGGACGUUUUCGGAUGGAAUUUGCGUAUUUUAGCGGCGGACGUGUGAGUAACGCGUGCGUGACCUGCCGUCCACAGGGGGAUAACGUACCGAAAGGUACACUGAUACCGCAUUAGCCCAUAGCACUGCCUGGUGCAGGGGUCAAAGGAGCAAUCCGGUGGAAGCUGGACUCGCGUCCGAUUAGAUAGUUGGUGGGGUAACGGCCUACCAAGUCAGCGAUCGGUAGCCGACCUGAGAUGGUGAUCGGCCAAAUUGGAACUGAGAGACGGUCCAAACGCCUACGGGAGGCAGCAGUGGGGAAGAUUGGGCAAUGGGGGAAACCCUGACCCAGCGAAGCCGCGUGAGGGAAGAAGGUUUUCGGAUUGUAAGCCUCUGUUCUUGGUGAAGAGGGAAAGACGGUAGCCAAGGAAGAAGCCCCGGCUAACUACGUGCCAGCAGCCGCCGUAA